GUCACCAUCAUUUUUUCAUAUUUAUUGUUUUUAUCAAAGAACGGUUUGAUUUUUAUUUUUUGUUUGUUUUUGGGACAAAUCUUGCAUUGUUUACUCUUUUCUUAGGUGUUUUUAUUUUACAUAUAUUGAUCUAAAUUAUGGUUCUGUUAGAUGACAUUACAUUUUCUGCAUUGGAGGAAGAUCCAUAGUUCCUCAAGAUAAGGGAAUUUCUUCAGGUUUUCUGUACUGAUCAGAGUAAAACAUUCUAGUUAUAUUUCGGAGACUGCGAGGUUGGCUUUAAUCUUAAAGAGUUACAAGAAGUUGGUAUUCCUCCGCCGGUCGAAAUUGAGAAUUUAGAGCUGAAAUGUUUAAGAGUUGAAGAAUCAUCAACCUAUUGUUCAAGUCUCUUUGAUGGCCUGCUCUGGAGUUGUCAUCCGAAGAAAAUAUCUAUUUCCUCCGAUUCCAUACUCCAAAGAAACUGCGCAAAGAUUCUACAUGAAAAACUAUUAUUGGCGAGAGCAACAAGGUCGAAAUGCUGCAAUUCUCUUAACAGAAGAUGUUGGCGGCAUGAGUUGAAAAGUGUAAGCAUGGAGAUCUCUCAAUGGACGGAGUUUGAAGAUGAGCUGCGGCUUCUUUAUUGGGACCAGUUGCCGCGCACAUGGCCAGUGCUUGGAGAUUUCGAUCAAGUAUUCUUCCAUUUGGUCUGGGAUUAAUUAAUGGACUAAAAUAUAUUGUAAAACUAUUCAACAAAUGGAAUGUUUGUAAUGAUACUUACGACUCCUCAACCAAUAUUUGUCCAAAUUAUCCCUACUGAACCAAUAUUAUUUGAGGCUGUAACUAUCUAAAUUUAAGACUAUUUUAUAUAUAUAUAUGGGAUGGAAUCAAGCAUCAUGAGAGUAAACACUCAUCUUCUAGACUA